AGGGGGACAACAGUUGGAAACGACUGCUAAUACCGCAUACGAUCUAACCUCGGCAUCGAGGAUAGAUGAAAGGUGGCCUCUACAUGUAAGCUAUCACUGAAGGAGGGGAUUGCGUCUGAUUAGCUAGUUGGAGGGGUAACGGCCCACCAAGGCGAUGAUCAGUAGCCGGUCUGAGAGGAUGAACGGCCACAUUGGGACUGAGACACGGCCCAG
rnacentral:rRNA from 1 species